rnacentral:rRNA from 1 species
CAGUCGCCGCGGUAAUACGUAGGUCCCGAGCGUUGUCCGGAUUUAUUGGGCGUAAAGCGAGCGCAGGCGGUUAGAUAAGUCUGAAGUUAAAGGCUGUGGCUUAACCAUAGUACGCUUUGGAAACUGUUUAACUUGAGUGCAGAAGGGGAGAGUGGAAUUCCAUGUGUAGCGGUGAAAUGCGUAGAUAUAUGGAGGAACACCGGUGGCGAAAGAGGCUCUCUGGUCUGUAACUGACGCUGAGGCUCGAAAGCGUGGGGAGCAAACAGGAUUAGAUACCCCAGUAGUCCCUGUCUCUUAUACA